UCACUUACCUGGACGAGGUCAACUCGUGAUCUAGAAGACGAGUGGCCUAGGCUAGUGACUUCCAUUGCACUAAGGUUAAGUGUGCUAUGCCUAAGGUCUUUAUAGAUCCUGUGUUAGUAUUUGUGGCUGAGGGGAUCUGUGUUCGCGCGGUCCCUAC
rfam:Arabis alpina cultivar Pajares chromosome 5, whole genome shotgun sequence.